rnacentral:rRNA from 1 species
GAUGAACGCUGGCGGCGUGCCUAAUACAUGCAAGUCGAGCGAACAGACGAGGAGCUUGCUCCUCUGACGUUAGCGGCGGACGGGUGAGUAACACGUGGAUAACCUACCUAUAAGACUGGGAUAACUUCGGGAAACCGGAGCUAAUACCGGAUAAUAUAUUGAACCGCAUGGUUCAAUAGUGAAAGACGGUUUUGCUGUCACUUAUAGAUGGAUCCGCGCCGCAUUAGCUAGUUGGUAAGGUAACGGCUUACCAAGGCAACGAUGCGUAGCCGACCUGAGAGGGUGGUCCGCCAACCUGGAAACGAGGCACGGUCCCGGCUUCUAAGGGAGGGAACAGUAGGGGAACCUUCGGAAUUGGCCAAAGGCUGACGGAGCAACGCCGCGUGAGUGAUGAAGGUCUUCGGAUCGUAAAACUCUGUUAUUAGGGAAGAACAAAUGUGUAAGUAACUAUGCACGUCUUGACGGUACCUAAUCAGAAAGCCACGGCUAACUACGUG